UGACGGGGUGCAGCAGGAGCGAAACCUUUACAAUGCACGAAAGUGUGAUAAGGGAACUCUAAGUGCUUUGCUUUUGCAAGGCUUUUGCCAAGUUUAAAAUGCUUGGCGAAUAAGUGGUGGGCAAGACUGGUGCCAGCCGCCGCGGUAACACCAGCGCCACGAGUGGGAACCGUUUUUAUUGGGUCUAAAGCGUCCGUAGCCGGUUUAGCAAGUCUCUUGUGAAAUCAUUAAGCUUAACUUAAUGGCGUGCUUGCAGAUACUGUUAUACUAGGAACUUGGAGGAGUCAGAGGUAUUUCUGGGGGAGCGGUAAAAUGCUAUAAUCCCACAAAGCACCACCUGUGGCGAAAGCGUCUGACUAGAAUAGAUCCAACGGUGAGGGACGAAAGCUAAGGGAGCAAUCCGGAUUAGAUACGAAAAAUCUUCUCGAAGAUUUCUGGAGUUAGGCUCGUAAAUUUGUCUAAUAAAACUACAUUUACAAGCUUAGACCAGAAUGUAUGUUGAUUUACUCGCUAACUACCCGAGUAGUCUUAGCCAUAAACUCUGCGAGCUAGGUGUUGCAUAUUCUUCGUGAAUAUGCAGUGUCGUAAUGAAGAUGUUAAGCUCGCCACCUGGGAAGUAUGGUCGCAAGACUGAAACUUAAAGGAAUUGGCGGGGGAGCACUACAAGGGGUGCGGCGUGCGGUUUAAUCUAACUCAACGCAGAGAAUCUCACCAGAGGCGACGGCAGGAUGAAGGUCAGUCCAAAGGGCUUACCCAACAAGCCGAGAGGUAGUGCAUGGCCGCCGUCAGCUCGUGCCGUAAGGUGUCCUGUUAAGUCAGGCAACGAGCGAGACCUGUACCUACAAUUGCUAACGAGCAGUUAUGUGAUCGAGCACAUUGUAGGGACUGCUCUCGAAAGGGAGAGGAAGGUGCAGGCUACGGUAGGUCUGUAUGCUCCGAAUCCUCUGGGCUACACGCGCGCAACAAUGGUAGUGACAAUGGGAUGCAACUCCGAAAGGAGAAGCUAAUCCUUGAAACACUAUCUUAGUUCAGAUUGUGGACUGUAAUUCGUCCACAUGACGCUGGAAUCCCUAGUAAUCGGAAUUCAAAAUAUUCCGGUGAAUGUGUCCCUGCUCCUUGCCCGAAUUCGCCGA
rnacentral:rRNA from 1 species